rnacentral:rRNA from 1 species
UACGUAGGGAGCGAGCGUUGUCCGGAAUUACUGGGUGUAAAGGGAGCGUAGGCGGGACGGCAAGUCAGAUGUGAAAAGUAUGAGCUUAACUCAUACCCUGCAUUUGAAACUGCUGUUCUUGAGUGAAGUAGAGGUAAGCGGAAUUCCUAGUGUAGCGGUGAAAUGCGUAGAUAUUAGGAGGAACAUCGGUGGCGAAGGCGGCUUACUGGGCUUUUACUGACGCUGAGGCUCGAAAGCGUGGGGAGCAAACAGG